UGCAGAAAUAACAAAAUAUUUACUAUCAUCUAGCUUGAUUUUGUCAGAUCUCAAAAGCUAAGCAAGGCAGGACCAAUUCAGUACUGGGAUGGGAGACCUCAAAGGAAAUCCAGGUUGUUGCUGUAA
rnacentral:rRNA from 1 species